UACAGAGGGGGCGAGCGUUGUUCGGAAUUACUGGGCGUAAAGGGCGCGUAGGCGGCCUUCUAAGUCGAACGUGAAAUCCCCGGGCUCAACCCGGGAACUGCGUCCGAUACUGGGAGGCUUGAAUCCGGGAGAGGGAUGUGGAAUUCCAGGUGUAGCGGUGAAAUGCGUAGAUAUCUGGAGGAACACCGGUGGCGAAGGCGGCAUCCUGGACCAAUAUUGACGCUGAGGAGCGAAAGCUAGGGGAGCAAACGGG
rnacentral:rRNA from 1 species